rnacentral:rRNA from 1 species
UCCGUAGGGUAACCUGCGGAGGGAUCAUUACCGAGACUCGUGCCCCUCCACGGGGCCGACCUCCCACCCCAUGUGAUGUUACCAUGUUGCCUCGGCGGGUCGCGACGCCGGGCUCCCGGCGUGCGUCUGCCAGAGGGCCCCCCAACUCAAUUGUCUGUGUCGUCUGAGUCUAAUAGAUAGAAAUUCAUGAAAACUUUCAACAACGGAUCUCUUGGUUCUGGCAUCGAUGAAGAACGCAGCGAAAUGUGAUAAGUAAUGUGAAUUGCAGAAUUCAGUGAAUCAUCGAAUCUUUGAACGCACAUUGCGCCCCUCGGUAUUCCGGGGGGCAUGCCUGUUCGAGCGUCACCUCAACCCUCACGCGUAGCGUGGUCUUGAGCGUCCCGGUUCCGCCGGGUGCUCCAAAAGCAGUGGCGGUGCUGCCAGGUACCGAGCGUAGUACAUGUAACAUUCGCUACGGCAUGCCUGGUGGUCCCUGCGAUCACAAUUGUCACCAAUAUGACCUCGGAUCAGGUAGGGAUACCCGCUGAACUUAAGCAUAUCAAUAAGCGGAGGA